UACGUAGGGUGCAAGCGUUGUCCGGAAUUAUUGGGCGUAAAGAGCUCGUAGGCGGUCUGUCGCGUCGGCUGUGAAAACUCGGGGCUCAACUCCGAGCUUGCAGUCGAUACGGGCAGGCUAGAGUUCGGCAGGGGAGACUGGGAUUCCUGGUGUAGCGGUGAAAUGCGCAGAUAUCAGGAGGAACACCGGUGGCGAAGGCGGGUCUCUGGGCCGAUACUGACGCUGAGGAGCGAAAGCGUGGGGAGCGAACAGG
rnacentral:rRNA from 1 species